GACGAACGCUGGCGGCGUGCCUAAUACAUGCAAGUCGAACGCAGUGGGGACGGGUGAGUAACACGCGGGUAACCUCCCAUCAGAGGGGAUAACACUUCGAAAACGGUGCUAAACCCAUACUGAUGGCUGGUACCGGUGGGCAUUGGCUAGUUGGGGAGGUAACGGCUCACCAAGGCCCCGAUGCAUAGCCGAGCUGAGAGGUUGAUCGGCCACACUGGGACUGAGAAACGGCCCAGACUCCUACGGUAGGCAGCAGUAGGGAAUCGUCGGCAAUGGCCGAAAGCCUGACCGAGCAACGCCGCGUGAGUGAAGAAGGUUUUCGGAUCGUAAAACUCUGUUGUUAGAGAGGCGGUAUCUGAACAGAAAGCCACGGCUAACUACGUGCCAGCAGCCGCGGUAAUAU
rnacentral:rRNA from 1 species